CCUACGGGAGGCUGCAGUGGGGAAUAUUGGACAAUGGGCGAAAGCCUGAUCCAGCCAUGCCGCGUGUGUGAAGAAGGCCUUCGGGUUGUAAAGCACUUUCAGUGGGGAAGAAAGCCUUGGGGCUAAUACCCUCGAGGAAGGACAUCACCCACAGAAGAAGCACCGGCUAACUCCGUGCCAGCAGCCGCGGUAAUACGGAGGGUGCGAGCGUUAAUCGGAAUUACUGGGCGUAAAGCGCGCGUAGGCGGUCUGAUAAGCCGGUUGUGAAAGCCCCGGGCUCAACCUGGGAACGGCAUCCGGAACUGUCAGGCUAGAGGGCAGGAGAGGAAGGGAGAAUUCCCGGUGUAGCAGUGAAAUGCGUAGGGAUCGGGAGGAAUACCAGUGGCGAAGGCGGCCUUCUGGACUGACACUGACGCUGAGGUGCGAAAGCGUGGGUAGCAAACAGGAUUAGAUACCCCAGUAGUC
rnacentral:rRNA from 1 species